AUGGCUCCGUUGAUACUGGAACAUUUUCACCUGCCUAACGAAGCUGCCUUUGCCUGCCAUGUUCCUGACGUUCCCAAUCCCUCCCGCUUCACCCCAUCCACCUGGUAACACCUUACCCCUUUCACCUGAUAAACACCCACUCAUCUUUUGAGGCUUAAAGUCAUCUCGUUUAGAAACCUGUUCCCCAAUCCCUACCCCCUUCUUCUAGCUAUCACUGUACCUCAGUACCUUGUGCAUAUUUUUAGCAUGACACCUUGCUGGCAUUUAUUGUUUGCAAGUUUAACUUUGCUACUAGACCUAGUUGCCAUGUCCCAUGCAUUUUUGUACUCAGAUACAUAGGCCCUUUUAAAAAGCUGUCGAGAAAAUUAGUUCUAACGCUAGUAGACCUCAGUAAAUGUAGAGCUGAGCCAAUUUCCCUCAGGG
rnacentral:lncRNA from 1 species